UACAGAGGGUGCGAGCGUUGUUCGGAAUUAUUGGGCGUAAAGGGCGCGUAGGCGGUGCGGUAAGUCACCUGUGAAAUCUCCUGGCUCAACUGGGAGCUUGCAGGCGAAACUGCCGUGCUGGAGUGUGGGAGAGGUGCGUGGAAUUCCUGGUGUAGCGGUGAAAUUCGUAGAUAUCGAGAGGAACACCGGUGGCGAAGGCGGCCAACUGGACGAAUACUGACGCUGAGACUCGAAAGCGUGGGGAGCAAACAGG
rnacentral:rRNA from 1 species